rnacentral:rRNA from 1 species
GUAGGGAAUUUUCGUCAAUGGGCGCAAGCCUGAACGAGCAAUGCCGCGUGAGUGAAGAAGCUCUUCGGAGUGUAAAGCUCUGUUGCAGGGGAAAAAGGAAGAGAAGAGGGAAUGCUUUUCUUUUGAUGGUACCCCGCCAGAAAGUCACGGCUAACUACGUGCCAGCAGCCGCGGUAAUACGUAGGUGGCAAGCGUUAUCCGGAAUGAUUGGGCGUAAAGGGUGCGCAGGCUGCGCGUCAAGUCUGAAGUGAAAUAUACAAGCUCAACUUGUAUAGGCUUUGGAAACUGGCAGGCUUGAGGACAGCAGAGGGCGGUGGAACUCCAUGUGUAGCGGUAAAAUGCGUAGAUAUAUGGAAGAACACCAGUGGCGAAGGCGGCCGCCUGGACUGUUACUGACGCUCAGGCACGAAAGCGUGGGGAGCAAAUAGGA